UGGGGAAUCUUGGACAAUGGGGGCAACCCUGAUCCAGCCAUGCCGCGUGAGUGAUGAAGGCCUUAGGGUCGUAAAGCUCUUUCGCCUGUGAAGAUAAUGACGGUAGCAGGUAAAGAAACCCCGGCUAACUCCGUGCCAGCAGCCGCGGUAAUACGGAGGGGGUUAGCGUUGUUCGGAAUUACUGGGCGUAAAGCGCACGUAGGCGGACCAGAAAGUUGGGGGUGAAAUCCCGGGGGCUCAACCCCGGAACUGCCUCCAAAACUAUUGGUCUAGAGUUCGAGAGAGGUGAGUGGAAUUCCAAGUGUAGAGGUGAAAUUCGUAGAUAUUUGGAGGAACACCAGUGGCGAAGGCGGCUCACUGGCUCGAUACUGACGCUGAGGUGCGAAAGUGUGGGGAGCAAACAGGAUUAGAUACCCUGGUAGUCCACACCGUAAACGAUGAAUGCCAGUCGUCGGGUAGCAUGCUAUUCGGUGACACACCUAACGGAUUAAGCAUUCCGGCC
rnacentral:rRNA from 1 species